rnacentral:rRNA from 1 species
CUUUUGCUGGCGACCGGCGCACGGGUGAGUAACACGUAUCCAACCUGCCCUUUACUCGGGGAUAGCCUUUCGAAAGAAAGAUUAAUGCCCGAUGGCAUAAUGAUUCCGCAUGGUUUCAUUAUUAAAGGAUUCCGGUAAAGGAUGGGGAUGCGUUCCAUUAGGUUGUUGGUGAGGUAACGGCCCACCAAGCCUUCGAUGGAUAGGGGUUCUGAGAGGAAGGUCCCCCACAUUGGAACUGAGACACGGUCCAA